rnacentral:rRNA from 1 species
AAUGAACGUUGGCGGCGUGGAUUAGGCAUGCAAGUCGAGCGAGAACCGUAGCAAUACGGGGACAGCGGCGAAAGGGACAGUAAUGUGUAGGUACCUACCCCCGGGUUCGGGAUAGCUGCGGGAAACUGCAGGUAAUACCGAAUAAUGUCUUCGGACCAAAGGUGUGAUUCCACCUGGGGAGGGGCCUGCAUCCUAUUAGCUUGUUGGUGGGGUAACGGCUUACCAAGGCGACGAUGGGUAGCGGGGGUGAGAGCAUGACCCGCGUCAUUGGGACUGAGACACUGCCCAGAGACCUACGGGUGGCUGCAGUCGAGGAUCGUCGGCAAUGGGCGCAAGCCUGACCGAGCGACGCCGCGUGCGGGAUGAAGGCCUUCGGGUUGUAAACCGCUGUCGUAGAGGAGGAAAUGCAGGAGGGUUCUCCCUUCUGUUUGGCCUAUUCUAGGAGGAAGUACGGGCUAAGUUCGUGCCAGCCGCCGCCGUAA